UUCCCCAGUGCAUUUUAGUUGUGUGCUCUGCAUGGGCCUACAAGAGACAACGCAGCUCUAAAUGUGAUGAUAUAAGCAAAGUGCCCACGGCUUGUACAGGCUGCAUUUCCGAUGCAGUAACAGGCAAACGAGAGGCUGCGUGCCUACAGUUCAGCACGCAAUGGACAAGACCCGGAGCCCGGAGGGUGCCAACUGCAGUACAUCACAGAGUGACGGUAACCUCUUGAGUAGCUGACGACGAGAGCGAUCAUUCAUCAAGACAGUGAGAUGAAUAGCCUAUUGCUGUUCCUGCAGAACUUCUCUGCCAGCGCCAGAGUACUCACAGACAAAGAGACCAAGGUUUUCCUGGUAGCCGGGGACGAGGAAGGUGAUGGCAAGAUUGGAGUUGACGAACCAGAACUCCUAUCAAGACUCACUAACUUAUUUAUCAACUGCCUGCGGACUAUAUUUCUCAACACGGAGCACAAUGUCCUUAUAGUGUAUUGUUAAUGUUAUUUGGAUAUGUUAUAAUGAUCUGAAAAUGGCUUGUGCAAAUUGUACAAUCGUAUCUGCACUUUCGAGGAAUAGUGAAAACCCAGUAAUAAUAACUAUUUUGGUGUAAAUGUUGUCUUUCCAGCUUAGCCUCUCGAUGCUUUAGAAACCAAUGUGGGGAGAAAUAAGCCUGAGUUCCAGAUGUAUCCUGCAUGUGCUGUCUUGCAAACUCCUAUGUCACUAUCACACCAAGACAGAUCUGGGACUCAGGCUAUAGGGGAAAAUUUUAGGAGAGUUCAAAUGUAUCCUGUGUGUUUAUCUAUGAGGUCAUUGCUAGUGUGAGGGGUUAUGGAGAGAGAGAGAGA